rnacentral:rRNA from 1 species
GACAGGGGGCUCAAGCGUUAAUCGGAAUCACUGGGCUUAAAGGGUGCGCAGGCGGUCCGUCAAGCAUUCUGUGAAAGCCCCCGGCUCAACCGGGGAACAGCAGAGUGGACUGGCGGACUUGAGGCAAGUAGGGGUGGACAGAACAGUGGGUGGAGCGGUGAAAUGCGUAGAUAUCCACUGGAAUGCCGAUGGUGAAGACGGUCCACUGGGCUUGUCCUGACGCUCAGGCACGAAAGCGUGGGGAGCAAACAGG